rnacentral:rRNA from 1 species
GACGAACGCUGGCGGCGUGCUUAACACAUGCAAGUCGAACGGAAAGGCCCUGCUUUUGUGGGGUGCUCGAGUGGCGAACGGGUGAGUAACACGUGAGUAACCUGCCCUUGACUUUGGGAUAACUUCAGGAAACUGGGGCUAAUACCGGAUAGGAGCUCCUGCUGCAUGGUGGGGGUUGGAAAGUUUCGGCGGUUGGGGAUGGACUCGCGGCUUAUCAGCUUGUUGGUGGGGUAGUGGCUUACCAAGGCUUUGACGGGUAGCCGGCCUGAGAGGGUGACCGGCGACAGUGGGACUGAGAUACGGCCCAGACGCCUACGGGAGGCAGCAGGGGGGAAUAUGGCACAAUGGGCGGAAGCCUGAGGCAGCAACGCCGCGUGCGGGAUGACGGCCUACGGGUUGUAAACAGAUUUCGCAUGUGACGAAGAGGGAGUGACGGUAAUGGGUAAAGAAGCAACGGCUAACUACGUG